rnacentral:rRNA from 1 species
UACGUAGGGGGCUAGCGUUGUCCGGAAUCAUUGGGCGUAAAGCGCGCGUAGGCGGCCCGGUAAGUCCGCUCUGAAAGUCCAGGGCUUAACCCUGGAAAGCGGGUGGAUACUGCCGGGCUUGAAUCUGGAAGAGGCGAGUGGAAUUCCUGGUGUAGCGGUGGGAAUGCGCAGGAUAUCAGGAGGAACACCAAUAGCGAAGGCAGCUCGCUGGGCAAUUCCUGACGCUGAGGCGCGAAAGCGUGGGGAGCGAACAGG